AAGACUAUAGACCUGCGGAGUACCUGCGGAGGGAUCAUUGUUGAAUUAUGUUUCUAAAUGGGUUGUAGCUGGCUCGUCAGAGCAUGUGCACGCCUGUUUGGACUUCAUUUUCAUCCACCUGUGCACCUAUUGUAGUCUUUGGUUGGGUAUCAAGGAAGUGGUCAGCCUAUCAGCACUUGCUGGAUGUGAGGACUUGCAGUGUGAAAGCUUUGCUGUCCUUUACUUGAUCAUGGAGUUGUU
rnacentral:misc_RNA from 1 species